rnacentral:tRNA from 2 species
ACCAAUUUAAUUUAAAUUAAAAUAGUAAAUUCCAAAUUUUCAAAUAAAAGUUAACAAUCUUUUAAUUGGUA